rnacentral:rRNA from 1 species
UACGUAGGGUGCAAGCGUUGUCCAGAUUUACUGGGCGUAAAGAGCGCGCAGGCGGUCGUUCAAGUCGCGUGUGAAAGCCCCCGGCUCAACUGGGGAGGGUCACGCGAUACUGAUCGACUGGAAGGCAGGAGAGGGUAGUGGAAUUCCCGGUGUAGCGGUGAAAUGCGUAGAUAUCGAGAGGAACACCUGCGGCGAAGGCGGGUUGCUGGGCUGACACUGACGCUGAUGUGCGAAAGCUAGGGGAGCGAACGGG